AGUGAACGCUGGCGGUAGGCCUAACACAUGCAAGUCGAACGGCAGCACAGAGGAGCUUGCUCCUUGGGUGGCGAGUGGCGGACGGGUGAGGAAUACAUCGGAAUCUACUCUGUCGUGGGGGAUAACGUAGGGAAACUUACGCUAACACCGCAUACGACCUACGGGUGAAAGCAGGGGAUCUUCGGACCUUGCGCGAUUGAAUGAGCCGAUGUCGGAUUAGCUAGUUGGCGGGGUAAAGGCCCACCAAGGCGACGAUCCGUAGCUGGUCUGAGAGGAGGAUCAGCAACACUGGAACUGGGACACGGUCCAGACUCCUACGGGAGGCAGCAGUGGGGAAUAUUGGACAAUGGGCGCAAGCCUGAUCUAGCCAUACCGCGUGGGUGAAGAAGGCCUUCGGGUUGUAAAGCCCUUUUGUUGGGAAAGAAAUCCAUCUGGUUAAUACCCGGGUGGGAUGACGGUACCCAAAGAAUAAGCACCGGCUAACUUCGUGCCAGCCGCCGCAGUAA
rnacentral:rRNA from 1 species